rnacentral:rRNA from 1 species
GACGAACGCUGGCGGCGUGCUUAACACAUGCAAGUCGAACGGUAAGGCCUUUCGGGGUACACGAGUGGCGAACGGGUGAGUAACACGUGGGUGAUCUGCCCUGCACUUCGGGAUAAGCCCGGGAAACUGGGUCUAAUACCGGAUAGGACUGCGCGGUGCAUGCCGUGUGGUGGAAAGAUUUAUCGGUGCAGGAUGGGCCCGCGGCCUAUCAGCUUGUUGGUGGGGUAAUGGCCUACCAAGGCGACGACGGGUAGCCGGCCUGAGAGGGCGACCGGCCACACUGGGACUGAGACACGGCCCAGACUCCUACGGGAGGCAGCAGUGGGGAAUAUUGCACAAUGGGCGCAAGCCUGAUGCAGCGACGCCGCGUGAGGGAUGACGGCCUUCGGGUUGUAAACCUCUUUCAGCAGGGACGAAGCGUGAGUGACGGUACCUGCAGAAGAAGCACCGGCCAACUACGCG